UACAGAGGGUGCAAGCGUUGUUCGGAAUUAUUGGGCGUAAAGGGCGCGUAGGCGGUGCGGUAAGUCUGUAGUGAAAUCUCUGGGCUCAACUCAGAGUCUGCUAUAGAAACUGCCGUGCUCGAGUGUGGGAGAGGUGAGUGGAAUUCCCGGUGUAGCGGUGAAAUGCGUAGAUAUCGAGAGGAACACCGGUGGCGAAGGCGGCCUUCUGGACAGUGACUGACGCUGAGACGCGAAAGCGUGGGGAGCAAACAGG
rnacentral:rRNA from 1 species